UGCAGUCGAGCGAAUGGAUUGAGAGCUUGCUCUCAAGAAGUUAGCGGCGGACGGGUGAGUAACACGUGGGUAACCUGCCCAUAAGACUGGGAUAACUCCGGGAAACCGGGGCUAAUACCGGAUAACAUUUUGAACYGCAUGGUUCGAAAUUGAAAGGCGGCUUCGGCUGUCACUUAUGGAUGGACCCGCGUCGCAUUAGCUAGUUGGUGAGGUAACGGCUCACCAAGGCAACGAUGCGUAGCCGACCUGAGAGGGUGAUCGGCCACACUGGGACUGAGACACGGCCCAGACUWMUACGGGAGGCAGCAGUAGGGAAUCUUCCGCAAUGGACGAAAGUCUGACGGAGCAACGCCGCGUGAGUGAUGAAGGCUUUCGGGUCGUAAAACUCUGUUGUUAGGGAAGAACAAGUGCUAGUUGAAUAAGCUGGCACCUUGACGGUACCUAACCAGAAAGCCACGGCUAACUACGUGCCAGCAGCCGCGGUAAUACGUAGGUGGCAAGCGUUAUCCGGAAUUAUUGGGCGUAAAGCGCGCGCAGGUGGUUUCUUAAGUCUGAUGUG
rnacentral:rRNA from 2 species